rnacentral:rRNA from 1 species
CCUACGGGUGGCAGCAGUGGGGAAUAUUGCUCAAUGGGCGAAACCCUGAUCCAGCGACGCCGCGUGAGUGACGAAGUACUUCGGUAUGUAAAGCUCUAUUAGCAGGGAAGAAAUAAAGUCCUUCGGACUUUGGACGGUACCUGACUAAGAAGCCCCGGCUAACUACGUGUCAGCAGCCGCGGUAAUACGUAGGGGGCAAGCGUUUUCCGGAUUUACUGGGUGUAAAGGGAGCGUAGACGGCAGCGCAAGUCUGGAGUGAAAUCCCAUGGCUUAACCAUGGAACUGCUUUGGAGACUGUGCAGCUGGAGUGCAGGAGAGGUAGGCGGAAUUCCUGGUGUAGCGGUGAAAUGCGUAGAUAUUAGGAAGAACACCAGUGGCGAAGGCAGCUUACUGGACUGUAACUGACGUUGAUGCUCGAAAGCGUGGGGAGCAAACAGGAUUAGAUACCCCUGUAGUC